ensembl:lncRNA
UUUCUGUAAGUAGUUCAACCUUUUUAUGUCUUAUGGAUGGAGAUGUUGUUUCUUUCACUGGCAGAGGAGAGACUAUAUGUUGGAGAGUACGACCUGAUAUUCAAUAAAGGUAUCUGAAACAAAUACCUUUUGAGGACCGUGGUUUUCACAAAGUUAAUAAUACCAUGUAGGAGAAUCCAGUCAUACCAGAUGGUGUCUUUUGGUAGGUACAAAGCUUAUAAGCUACACAGUUGGAAGGUACAUGUAAUAUGCCAUAGGCAUUUUGUUCUUAAUCCAGAUUUGAUCUGAUUCUUGAUCACAAACGGUGUGGUGGGGGUGGGGCAUUGGCUUGUCACACCGCUUUGUUUACUUUCUGACAAUGAACCUCCCACUUGUUUCUAUGCAACUGCGUGGCAAAGACUGUUUUCAUUCCUGACAAGCCACAUUUUGAAAGCUUUCACAUACUCAAAUACAGAUGUCUUUGUAGAAAAAAAUGUAUUCACCAUGCAGGGAGCUUUGCAGUGAUCCUUGGAUUUUGUAUAUAAAAUGUUGCCAUGUUGUCAAAAUUGAUUUUAAUUAUGAUUCAAUUCAUAUGAAUCAAGAGAAUCUAAUCCAGCUGCUGAGCAUCCAUCAUGCCUUUCAAUGUGCAUAUGUUUUACAUCAUUACAGUAAAUGGACUGAAAUUAAUGGUGUUUGAAAUGAUUUAAAAACGACCCACUGUUUAGGAUAUUGAAAUAUAAUCCUAAAUUCGAAAGUGACAAGUGACGAGGAAAAGUGUGUAAUUGCAAAAGUGCACACUAUGUUCAGAAACAACAUAAAAAAUGGUCUGCUCCUUGAAUAAAUUGGCAUGCACCUUGAAGAGCUCUUUAAGAAGCAGACCUUUAUUAUUUUUACACUUUUUCCAACCCCAUCGGGGCCCCUAUGGAAAAACAACAUUCAACUCAUCUCCCCCAAUAACUUUGGAUGAUGACCAGAACAAACCAAUCCAAGUUCUAAGACACAUUAAAAAUAUUUUCUAGAACCAUCACAGCCGCCGAUGUCUCGCCAUGUUCCGGACACUGUAACUAAUUGGAGAUCCUUUUUUGUUAUCACGCCUCUCUUGGUGGUUAAAAUGUAAACAGGCUGUUAUGAAAGUGCCCUUAUGGCAUGGAGGGAAACGAGCGAGGCCACUCUGGCACUUACACGGCAUGCCUUAUAAAUAAGUAAUGGUACUGGACAUGUAGCGGUUAGUCAUGGAGGAGGAAGGUCUGCGCAUCAACUCCACCUCUGUUUGCCUUGUACAUAUUUCAUAAGAUGCUUGGGUGGAGGGAAGUGGGAGGUUGUGGGGCGUAUGGGAGGGUGGUUGAAAUAAAAGGCAGCUCACACAGGCUCCUCUCUGUUCACUGUCAUGGGUCUGUUACUAUUAAUAAUACCAAGUGUCCUCUCUUUUUCUACUGAUACAAGUUCAUGGUGUUUUUCUCUUCAGGGCCUUCCUGUAUUUGACAGUGAAAUAGAGCAAGCUGCCGUUGUAUCCACCUUAACCCAGGCAGAACACAGUGCAGGUUGCACAGUGUUAGUUUUAACAAUUAACAAAGUUUCCUUUACAGACUCCAGAUCACCAUUUUCUCAAGGGCUCUGAUUAAAGUUGGCAGGGGAAAGUACACACAACGGUUUUUCAUACUUCAGACGAAGAAAAGAAAAAGUAAAACUCGUAAAGCCAUGAGUUUGUUCUAGCAUGUCUGCUUUUUUUAUUAAAAUGUGUCCUUUUAUAUUUUGUGUCAUUGUUGUAAAAAAAUCAGAAUUUGUUUUAGUUGUAGAAAGUGUAGGGUCAACUCCAUCUUCUUACCCCUACAUUCACAUUACUAGUCUAUUAAAUGGAGUUACCGAUGAAACAUCUUGAAAGUCAGUCAUGAUUCGCCAUCAAUAAAUGACUUUCAGGUCUUCACGAUGACAUAAUGGAGGUCAACUUAUCUGAAUUGAUCCGUAUCCAUUUUGCAGUUUACUCACUGCUUAAAAGAACACCUUGAAUUAUUGAUUGGGAGGAAGAAGUCCUUCAAAACAAUACUAUCCAAGUACUUGAUGAUACAGAUGAUCACACACACAAAAAGGCAACGUCGGAGCUGCGUUAAUUAAGUGGUCUCUCUGUGGAAAGUAUUGCGCAUGCUCCAACAAUGUAUGCGGUUUCACGUCUUUAGGUAAAAACAGUCCGGCACACAAAGACAGUAUGUUACCAAGAAUAAUAAAAAAAAUGAUAAAUAGCUAUACGUAUCAAUAACAGGAAAAAAAAAACAUUUAACUUGAAUAAUAUUUUGUAUGUUGAAGAUAGUAUUUAAACCUGAGAAGAGUGGAGAUGAGGAAGUAUGAACAUGCCACACAUUUAAAAUCCAAGAAAAGAACUAAUCUGGGCAACAACUUCAAUAUUCAAAUAAGAACCCUUCUUCAUCUGUAUCUUAACACACCAUUUCAGUUUCAGUGUAUAUACUGUAUAUA